AGCAGCCGCGGUAAUUCCAGCUCCAAUAGCGUAUAUUAAAGUUGUUGCAGUUAAAAAGCUCGUAGUUGAAUUUCGGGACUAAUAUGUCGGUCGUACUUUGUACGUACUAGCAUUAUUGGUUUCUCCCUUCUGACGAACCACGAUGUCAUUAAUUUGGUGUCAUGGGAAAUCAGGACUGUUACUUUGAAAAAAUUAGAGUGUUUAAAGCAAGCUCGCGCUUGAAUACAUUAGCAUGGAAUAAUGAAAUAGGACGUUUGAUUCUAUUUUGUUGGUUUCUAGGAUCGACGUAAUGAUUAAUAGGGAUAGUUGGGGGCAUUAGUAUUCAAUUGUCAGAGGUGAAAUUCUUGGAUUUAUUGAAGACUAACUACUGCGAAAGCAUUUGCCAAGGAUGUUUUCAUUAAUCAAGAACGAAAGUUAGGGGAUCGAAGACGAUCAGAUACCGUCGUAGUCUUAACCAUAAACUAUGCCGACUAGGGAUCGGAUGAUGUUAAUUUUUAAUGACUCAUUCGGCGCUUUAAC
rnacentral:rRNA from 1 species